UUGAGAACCUUUUUUCUAAAACCAAAUUGAGCGUCACUUAUGACAUUAUUCAUUUUAUCAAAAACUAAUAAUCGUUCAUUUAGGAUGGCAGUAAAUAAUUUCCCUAAGCAACUGACUAAAGUUAUGCCUCUGUAAUUAUCAGGGUCGUUUGCAUUGCCUUUUUUAAAAAUAGGAACAAUGCAUCCCAAUGACCAACUGUGUGGAAAUGUACCCGAAUCAAAGACAGCGUUAAAUAAUAUCAAUAAACAUGGCAUCAAAACAUUUAUACAAUUUAUAAAAUAUUCGUUUAAUACCUUGUCAAGCCCACUGGAUUUGUUCGUCUUUAACUUAUGUACAGCAUUAAGAAUUUCCUUCUCUGUAAUUUCAGAGCAAAGCUCGCGGUUCGGUGCGUCACUAACUUGCUGGUCGUAUUUACGUAAAAAAUCUUGUGUCUCGUCGUCUAAUUUAGGCACCUUUUCAGCCAAUUUGCUAAAAUGGUUAUAGAAUUCAUCAUUUGUUAGUUCUGAGUUUACGUUUUUCUUCCUUUUUUCGAAAUGUACAUAAAACUGCUUUGGGUUAUUUAUAAUUUCUUUUUAGGCGGCGUUCUAAUGACUUAUAUAUUCUUUUUACACGUACGAGUUCAAUUCGAUUUAGGUCACUUCUUCUACCAUUAAACAUAUGGAUAGCUGCUCUAUAUUCGUCAAAUCGAGCUUUACAUUCCUCGUUAAACCAUGGCUUAUCACCGCCUGUGGUAGUGUGCCGGCGCAUAUAGUUCUUUCUGUUUGUAUGGGUAGUGACGUCACAGUAAGGCAAUAUAAUAGUAUUUAGUUCGUUUGUGAAUUUAUCAACCCGGACGUUUAUACAGUCUUGGCUAUUACCACUAGUUGAACAUAUAUUCAAUAGCGUUUCAAUAUUUUCGGUUACUUUGGAAGCAAUGACAGCAUUGUUUUCGUCGAUCCACUUCACGGUAGUGUGUGUUCGAAUCUCAUCUGGCUCCUGCGUAUCAGCAAUGUUUACAUUACAACCCAGUGUGAACAGAACAGAACAGAACAGAACAGAACUUUAUUACACUCGUGAAACAUACAGGUGCAUGGUCGGAGAAACAAUUGAACUCACCGGAUUGAAAAUAUGAAAUUAAAUCGAAACACGAUUCGCUAGUGAGUACAUAAUCAAUAAGGCUUGUACCGUUUGCAUUGUAAAAAGUGAUACCUAAGAUGGCCAGCCCUACGGCGGACCACAUCAAUGUAAGCACCUCCAAACCACUUACCGCAAUCGGAACUCCUCGUACAUUUCUACGAAAUAUAAACUCGGACACAAUGCGUCAAUAUUUUGGACGGAACUUUUUUUAGUCACAUGAUCAAAACAUGGCUAUGGAAUAUAAUUGUUCAUGCUGUGCUUCAGUGAAUAGACAACUACAUACAACAACAACAAAUGCAUCGAAGAGAAUACGCGAGAAUGAUAUAAUACAAAAGAUAACAGACACAUUAGGCUUUAAACCUACUGACAGUUACAGAAUAUGUGACAGAUGUGUAAAUAAAAUUAUUAAAUUCCAAAAUUUUAAAACACAGGUUUUUGAAAAUCUACAGAAUGCAUGUAAUCAUAUAAGCACAGGGACGCCACCCAGCACUGGUCCGACGCCGAUGGAACGAAGGAAAACUGUUGUGGACAAACUUAUUGAGUCUGUUGAGAAGUUAAAAGUACAUACAGAUCGCCCACAUGCCAAAGCUUCAUCACGAAGAAAACUAGUUUUUAAUGAUCACAUAUAUCAAAAGAAAGCAUUCUCAUUGGUCCAAUCCAGCCAAUCACGAACAAGGAACCUCACAUGUAAAUAAACUGAAUUGUGUCUUUUGCACUCGCACCAUAUUCUUUAUUACUGAUGCAUGAAAUACUGGCUGACUAAAGUAAGUCAACUAGGGCAACAGAGGAAAUAGCAAGCAGGAAAACAAGAUAGACCUAAAGACAAACCAAGUGCGCACAUUCUGAUUGAUCGAUUUGAUGAGCGCGUCUGCCUGGGUCUGGACCUGCUUGACAAGCCACUGCUCGAUCCUGCCGUGCACCUGACUCAGCUUCUUGCUGAGCUCCAACAUCAUGGCCAG